rnacentral:misc_RNA from 1 species
AUAUUGGAGUCAGGGGAGCCGAAAAUAGAGGUUUGCUGCCAGUUUCAAAGGAUCUAACUAAUCCACAAAUGAAGGAUCAAAGCAGUAUUGAUAAAUAUUGUUACUACUGAAGAAAUUCUGGGUGCAGAAUCCACAACCCUAGGAACUAAUGAAGACAUGAUACAUCAAAAAAGAAAAUUUCAGCAAAAGAUAAAGAAAUAAACAGAGAAAUUUCUUGAGAAUGAUUGUGGAAUGUUUCUCAAAUUCAAGAAGCAAUUGAUAUUGAUUUUGCAAUUAAAGAUGCUGAUGAAUAGAAUUUUGAAGAAAGACAUUCAUAAUCUCUUAAGAAUUGUGUUUUGAAGAAAGUCCAAAAUUUAUGUCGCCUUCAGCAUAUGUUAACCAGCUAGAAUGAGGUUCUUGUUGCUAGAGUUUGAGAAAUGGAGUGGAAUGCUAU